CACCCGCCAUGCCGCCCGCGCUCACCGCGCCGCGCCCGGAAGUGACGCACGCAGGCUCCGCGGGCCCGCCCCCGACAGGCCCCGCCCUGCGAGCGCCGAGCCCUCCCCUCCCCCGGAAGUGCAGCCUGCGGGACUUCCGGCUCCCGCUGCGGCCUCGGGGCUCUGUGCUGUGGGGUUCCGCGCGCCCGGGCAGCGAGGGCUGGGCGCCAUGUUUGCGAAAAGGGGCUGCAGCACCAACCCCUGGGCCUCUCGGCACCUGGCCCUCAGGCGAGGGGAGUCUGACUUCUCCAGAAGGGCGUCCCCGCGCCCUCCUGAGGGAGACUCUGCAGCUCUGUGGUUGAGGAACCUCAGAAACAGGGUUUCUGGCCCCUUGGCCCUGGGUUCCUGGACCUUGAAGGAAGCACGGGGAGCUGAGAGAAAAGCAGGGCUGGACGUCACUUUAAGCGCCGAAAACAUCCCCGUCAGGACCCUUGACGUAGCGCGCAAGAGACCUCAGUGUGGGGCCCUCUGGGUUCACCCAAAUGCCUGUUGACUGAAAAAAAACACACGACCUAAAAGUCGGGAGUUAGGUUUUAUUCCUUGGACAAAACUGAGGACUUAAGCCCAGGACGCAGCAUCUCGGAUAGCUGAGGGACUGCCCCGAAGAGCUUCCCGGGGCCAGCGUCCCGUGCUUUCUCACCCGAGUCCCCUCAGGGUGCACCGUCGGGCAGCUGUGAUGUGACGGCUUGUAGGCUGCAACAUCUGCUUACUGAUAGAGCAGGCUUGUGGGAUCUUCGCUUCCUGACCAGGGAUAGAAGCCACAGCCCCUGUGUUGGAAGCCUCCUGACUGCAGGCACUCAGGCAGCUGAAACCUGGACCAGCAAGACUUCCAGGUAUCGCAGUCUUGGAACAGGAACAAAACCCUGGGACUCCCUGAAAUUCUGACUUUUCUUGAGGGAAACAAACACCAUCGACACCGAGCCCAGUUUAUAAGGGUCUGGGGAGUGUUUCACCGGAAAGGGCGUAAAUCCUCUUCCCCAGGCCGGGAGUGGAAGCAGCACCUGCUCGUGGAGGCCGGUGCCAUCUCUCCGGCCAGGUGCCCGCGCGGUGCCAUCUCCGGCCAGGUGCCCGCGCAUGGCCUGGCGGUGCCCCCGGCUGUGGAGCUUUAUGUCAGCAGGAGUAUUUUUAUUUAAUGUCAUAUGGUAAACACAAAGAAAAUCCUCUGUUUUUGCACCUAAUUUCAGCAGGGCACAGAAUUAAGAGUUUAGCUGGUUGCCUUGUUUUCUGCUGAACUUAGGCUUCAGUAUUUUUGUUCCUGGAGCGAAGCUUCCUGCCCUCAUUAGAGAGAUUGAAAACUUCCUUGUACUCAUAUCUUACACUAUUUGUUUAGUUCUUUAAUAAAUGAAACCCUAAUCCAA
ensembl:lncRNA